AGCGAACGCUGGCGGCAGGCCUAACACAUGCCAGUCGAACGAACCUUUCGGGGUUAGUGGCGGACGGGGGAGGAACACGUGGGAACGUGCCUUUAGGCUCGGAAUAACUCAGGGAAACUUGUGCUAAUACCGAAUGUGCCCUUCGGGGGAAAGAUUAAUCGCCUUUAGAGCGGCCCGCGUCUGAUUAGCUAGUUGGUUGAGGUAAUGGCUCACCAAGGCGACGAUCAGUAGCUGGUCUAAGAGGAUGAUCCGCCACAUUGGGACUGAGACACGGCCCAAACUACUACGGGAGGCAGCAGUGGGGAAUCUUGCGCAAUGGGCGAAAGCCUGACGCAGCCAUGCCGCGUGAAUGAUGAAGGUCUUAGGAUUGUAAAAUUCUUUCACCGGGGACGAUAAUGACGGUACCCGGAGAAGAAGCCCCGGCUAACUUCGUG
rnacentral:rRNA from 1 species